rnacentral:rRNA from 1 species
AACCGGAGCUAAUACGGAUAAUAUAUUGAACCGCAUGGUUCAAUAGUGAAAGACGGUUUUGCUGUCACUUAUAGAUGGAUCCGCGCUACAUUAGCUAGUUGGUAAGGUAACGGCUUACCAAGGCAACGAUGCGUAGCCGACCUGAGAGGGUGAUCGGCCACACUGGAACUGAGACACGGUCCCAGACUCCUACGGGAGGCAGCAGCC